GGAGCAAAGCUGCUGGAGUUCAAUAAGUGUAAAGCAGGACUUGAUAAGCAAGGUAGUGGUAGUAGCAGGCAAUUUAGAUAAGGAGGUGUAGUGUACUGUCAGAAAGUACUUGCAGUAUGAUCCCAAAUGAGUUUGGCCCAGGCUGUCUCUCAAUGCCUGGAUUUCCUGCAGGUUAAAUUCCUUUCCUUGGGCUUGGAGGACAUAUCAGUGUUAUCAGCCUGAUAGAUCACAGAAUACAGAAUUGUAGAACCUCCUGAGCUGGAAGGAACCCACAAGGCUCACCAAGGCCAGCUCUUAGCCCUGCACAGCACAGCCCCAAGAAGGCUGUUUCACAACUAAUGAUCACUGAUAUGGGAUUAAAGCAGUGUUGGAUCAUCCAGCAGGAUCACUGGAAAGAAGCUGUGUACAAAUGAUGCCGUUGUGGACGAAUCAGUCAACAACACCAUGACUGCCAUCCCACGCAGCCACCUCUGCACAGCAGCAUUCCAGCACCGUGUGGAAAACAGAGUGCCUGCCUGACCCACACAAGUCUGCUGUGCCAACAGCCCUCACCAGCUGAGAACAGAAUCAGAGACAACACAUCAGCAGCUGAAAUCACACAGGUCUUCUUGUUUAUGGCAGCAGAGUGGCCAUUUUCCACUGGAGAAACUGAGCUACAGCAAAUCAAAAAUUCUUUGCAAAGGUCAGUCCUACACCCAGGAAUAGUGACUGCAUUGUUGUACAAAAGUGAUGAUGUUAUUUUGGUGUUUUCUAUAUUGCUUUGACAAAAUCACAUGAAAAAAAUCAUUGUGUUUACAUCCUCUCUGCUCUCAGAUUGUCUUAACUGUCUGACCCCUUGUGUCUGAAGAAGUAUGUCACAAUCUCAGGAGAAUAUAUAAUGCUCACAAAUAGGUGUCUAUCAAGAAAUUAUUACUUAAAACCCCAGUUAUGUUAGCCUGCAUAGAUCAGGUAAAUAAAUUGCAGUCUAUUCUGUUUCUGGA